GGCCCUGCCCCAGGGAGAGCAGCCGACUGCGGUAAGGGAACUAACUGUACCCUUCCCUGGCACCACGGAGGGAGCGCUGGGGCAGCGGCAUCAGGCUGUGAGCCAGGGAGCACUGCAGCUCCUCACAGCGUCAGGACCCAGCUACUUUAAAAAAAAAAAAAAAACACUUCAGCAACUCAGCUUGGACUCCACUUGACUCCCUCCUUCUGACACGGAGACACCUCAACAGCCAUCCCGAGCGUUUGGAAACGCAGGACAGAAGUACACCUCGGAGACCCCGACUCCUACCCCGUGCUGUUUCUAGCACCGCUUCAUCCUGCGAUGUCUUCACAGCCACGCCAAGCUGCAUCCUAAAAAGUGGCCGGGCCUUGGCUCGUGCUCGUCUGGUCUGAAGGCGUUUUUGGAACUCACUAUUCUAAUUGUUAGGAAUCAUCUUCUCAUUUCCAGCUUAAUUGGAUGCACGGCUGGUUAAUAUCCAUUUGCUCCUGUGCCAACGUUGUAAUUUAUCUCUCAUAGCUCCUGCCGUGGUGUUUACACUACAGUGUAUUUGGAGACGGCAAUCAUCUCCCUCUCGGCCAUUACAUGGAAGACUAAACAAGUUUUUCCAGCAUUUUCCUGCUAGCCUGCCUGUCCCUGCACCUAAUGCCAUGGUAGCUCUUCUGCCUGGGCUGCUGCUCAAGGUUCCUCUCCUGAAAAUGGGUGCCAAAGCCAGACUUUGUGCUCAUCUAGUAAGAAUUCCCCAACUGGAUACAGCCAGGGUUGCUUUUGCCCUUCUCAGUCCCAUUUUGCAGUGGCAGCUCAGUGUCACUCUGUGGCUGGUUACUCCUGUGAUUUCUCAUCUUCAGAUGCUUGCAGCUCACAAAGUCCCCAAAAUGCAGUAAAGAAGGUCUGGUGGCUUUCAUGCCUUUUUUUUUUUUUUUUGGUGGUACCGCAUUCCUUUACUUUCCCCUACACUGCUGAUGCACUACAACAUUCUGACUUCAUCAGAUUGCACCUAAUAUUUGUGCCAGUCAGUCCUUGAGGAAAUCAAUUUAUAAAAACAUCCACAAGUA